CAUACAUGGGCGUAUACAGAGGGGGGCAGGGGGGGGCAGCUGCCCCCCCCCUAGACUCAAUGAGAUCCCCAUUGAGAUUACGAAUAAUAUAAUUAAUAGAUUUGCCGAGGACUCCAGAAAAUUAAUUUUUAUAUAAAUAAAAAAAUUUUUUUUAUAAGUACGUAGUUUAAUUUAUGCUGCAUAAUUCACCUACGAGUGAAUCCUGUUCUGCCCCCCCCUAGACAAAAGUCUGGAUACGCCCAUGAUAGACGUAAUAC